rnacentral:lncRNA from 1 species
UGGACCCUCGUGAUGUGUGCUCACCCUUCUCUGCUCAGCUCUGUGCCUGGGAGGCUGACCUCUACAGACUGCAUCACCAGGCUUCCGCCCUCUGGCUUCCAGAUGGAUUUGGCCAAUGGGCAGCACCAGUGGGAAAGGAGAGGACAGGAGGAGAGACAGGCUGAGGCCUCCCUCCUCCUGUGCCCCUGACAUACAGUGACAGUGCUGCCCUGCAGGAUGGCGUAUCAGAGAGCUCAGGAUGGAUGCAGUCAAGGACGACAGCCCAUGUCAAAAAGGCUGCCUUGCUGAACAUUUGCCCAGCAGAAGAUUUUAGAAAGAAAGGAAACAUCUUAGUGAUUUUCUUGCCUCCAGAAGAUUCCCUGAUCCAAUCUUUCCUUGGCACAAACUUUAGUUAUUGUGUUUACAUAUACAUUUUAUAUAUGCAUGGUCAUUAUUGUAUCUCUUUUAUUUGGGGACUUUAUCUUGAUGUGUGUUAUACCUAAUACACUGCAAUAUAAAUU